rnacentral:rRNA from 1 species
GACGAACGCUGGCGGCGGGCUUAACACAUGCAAGUCGAACGGAAAGGCCCUGCGUUUGUGGGGUGCUCGAGUGGCGAACGGGUGAGUAACACGUGAGUAACCGGCCCUUGACUUUGGGAUAACUUCAGGAAACUGGGGCUAAUACCGGAUAGGAGCUCCUGCUGCAGGGGGGGGGUUGGAAAGUUUCGGCGGGUGGGGAUGGACGCGCGGCUUAUCAGCUUGUUGGUGGGGGAGGGGCUUACCAAGGCUUUGACGGGUAGCCGGCCUGAGAGGGUGACCGGCCACAUUGGGACUGAGAUACGGCCCAGACUCCUACGGGAGGCAGCAGUGGGGAAUAUUGCACAAUGGGCGGAAGCCUGAUGCAGCAACGCCGCGUGCGGGAUGACGGCCUUCGGGUUGUAAACCGCUUUCGCCUGUGACGAAGCGUGAGUGACGGUAAUGGGUAAAGAAGCACCGGCUAACUACGUG